UACGGAGGGGGCGAGCGUUAUUCGGAAUUAUUGGGCGUAAAGGGCGCGUAGGCGGCUUGAUAAGUCAAAGGUGAAAUCCCUCGGCUCAACUGAGGAACUGCCUUUGAAACUGUCUGGCUUGAGGCCGGGAGGGGGUAGCGGAAUUCCCAGUGUAGCGGUGAAAUGCGUAGAUACUGGGAGGAACACCGGUGGCGAAGGCGCUACCUGGACCGGUUCUGACGCUGAUGCGCGAAAGCGUGGGUAGCAAACAGG
rnacentral:rRNA from 1 species